CUCAUUCCAUGCAGUCGACGGCAGCACGGGUGCUUGCACCUGGUGGCGAGUGGCGAACGGGUGAGUAAUACAUCGGAACAUGUCCUGUAGUGGGGGAUAGCCCGGCGAAAGCCGGAUUAAUACCGCAUACGAUCUACGGAUGAAAGCGGGGGACCUUCGGGCCUCGCGCUAUAGGGUUGGCCGAUGGCUGAUUAGCUAGUUGGUGGGGUAAAGGCCUACCAAGGCGACGAUCAGUAGCUGGUCUGAGAGGACGACCAGCCACACUGGGACUGAGACACGGCCCAGACUCCUACGGGAGGCAGCAGUGGGGAAUUUUGGACAAUGGGCGAAAGCCUGAUCCAGCAAUGCCGCGUGUGUGAAGAAGGCCUUCGGGUUGUAAAGCACUUUUGUCCGGAAAGAAAUCCUUGGCUCUAAUACAGUCGGGGGAUGACGGUACCGGAAGAAUAAGCACCGGCUAACUACGUGCCAGCAGCCGCGGUAAUACGUAGGGUGCAAGCGUUAAUCGGAAUUACUGGGCGUAAAGCGUGCGCAGGCGGUUUGCUAAGACCGAUGUGAAAUCCCCGGGCUCAACCUGGGAACUGCAUUGGUGACUGGCAGGCUAGAGUAUGGCAGAGGGGGGUAGAAUUCCACGUGUAGCAGUGAAAUGCGUAGAGAUGUGGAGGAAUACCGAUGGCGAAAGCAGCCCCCUGGGCCAAUACUGACGCUCAUGCACGAAAGCGUGGGGAGCAACAGGAUAUAACCCCCUCUUUGUUAAUAACCGGUUUGCUCCCCAGCUUUUCCUGACAUGAGCCUCAAUAUUG
rnacentral:rRNA from 1 species